rnacentral:rRNA from 1 species
GAUGAACGCUAGCGGGAGGCUUAACACAUGCAAGUCGAGGGGCAGCAUAGAGUAGCAAUACUUUGAUGGCGACCGGCGCACGGGUGAGUAACGCGUAUGUAACCUACCCUGUACAGGGGGAUAGCCCGGAGAAAUUCGGAUUAAUACCCCAUAAUGAUAUCGAGAGGCAUCUUUUGAUAUUUAAAGCUUCGGCGGUACGGGAUGGGCAUGCGUGACAUUAGCUAGUUGGUAAGGUAACGGCUUACCACGGCUGCGAUGUCUAGGGGUCCUGACAGCGUGUACCCCCACACUGGUAAUGAGAUCCGGACCAGACUCCUACAGGAGGCAGCAGUCAGUAAUAUUGGUCAAUGGGCGUAAGCCUGAACCAGCCAUCACGCGUGAAGGAAGAAGGCACUAUGCGUCGUAAACUUCUUUUCCAGAGGAAUAAACUUUUGUACGCGUACAGAUCUGAAGGUACUCUGGGAAUAAGCAUCGGCUAACUCCGUGCCAGCCGCCGCUGUAACAC